AGCUCAGUUGGUAGAGUGCUUGUCUUGCAUGCACGAGGCCCUGGGUUCAAUCCCCAG
rnacentral:tRNA from 1 species